UACGUAGGGGGCAAGCGUUGUCCGGAAUCAUUGGGCGUAAAGAGCGUGUAGGCGGCCAGAUAAGUCCGCUGUGAAAUCUCGAGGCUCAACUUCGAGCUGUCGGUGGAAACUGUCUGGCUAGAGUCCGGAAGAGGAGAAUGGAAUUCCUGGUGUAGCGGUGAAAUGCGCAGAUAUCAGGAAGAACACCCGUGGCGAAGGCGGUUCUCUGGGACGGUACUGACGCUGAGACGCGAAAGCGUGGGAGCGAACAGGAU
rnacentral:rRNA from 1 species